ACUUCAGUGCACGGUUGCAGGGAUCAGCUGACACAGAUCGCUGGCACAGGCUGGUUAGUUAUUUAAUGGUUUCAGGUUAGUUUAUUUGAUCUAAGACUUCAGUGCAUGGUCGCAAAGAUCAGCUGACACAGAUCCCUGACACACGCUGGUUAGUUAUUUAAUGGUUUCAGCUUAGUUUAUUUUCUCUAAAACUUCAGUGCACGGUUGCAGGGAUCAGCUGACACAGAUCGCUGGCACAGGCUGGUUAGUUAUUUAAAUGGUUUCAACUUAGUUUAUCAUAAAAAACUUCAGUGCACGGUUGCAGGAAUCAGCUGAAACAGAUCGCUGGCACAGGCUGGUUAGUUAUUUAAUGGUUUCAGCUUAGUUUAUCUAAAACUUCAGUGCACGGUUGCAGGGAUCAGCUGACACAGAUCGCUGGCACAGGCUGGUUAGUUAUUUAAUGGUUUCAGCUUAGUUUAUCUAAAACUUCAGUGCACGGUUGCAGGGAUCAGCUGACACAGAUCGCUGGCACAGGCUGGUUAGUUAUUUAAUGGUUUCAACUUAGUUUAUCUAAAACUUCAGUGCACGGUUGCAGGAAUCAGCUGACACAGAUCGCUGGCACAGGCUGGUUAGUUAUUUAAUGGUUUCGGUUUGGUUUAUUUUAUCUAAAACUUCAGUGCACGGUUGCAGGGAUCAGCUGACACAGAUCGCUGGCACAGGCUGGUUAGUUAUUUAAUGGUUUCAGCUUAGUUUAUCUAAAACUUCAGUGCGCGGUUGCAGGGAUCAGCUGA
ensembl:lncRNA